rnacentral:lncRNA from 1 species
UACUACUUUUAUAACGGAAAACUUUAGCCUGAAAAAUUUUAUAACGCGGGCGGAGCCGCGGGCAAAAGCUAGUAAAUAUAUAAUUCCAAUAAAUUAAGUGUAAAUACAGGCAAACUUUAAGAGUUCAAAUAAUUUCACGGUGGUAUCUUUAUAAAUAUAGACAUAUUUCAUAAGCAUUUUUUUUCGCAUCAGAACCUGAUAAAAUUGUUUUUACAACUAUGUGAAAGAAUUGUAUUAUAACUUUAAAAAUAUUAUUGAAUUUUAAACGUCAAUGCCAUAUAAAACUAACCUUAGAAAUUUACGUUCCAGUAAAGUAGUAAAUAAAUGGUACCAAGCAUCAAAACUAUUUUGAAAACUAUUUUGCUUUUCAAUGAUUGUUUAUGGUAGUCUUAUUUACGGAAAUAAUUGUGUCUUUAAAGCAAUCCCCCGGCAAAACGGCAUACCCACCAUUUUUGUUUAAUCUAUUCGGUAUUGGAAAAAUGUAGAAAGAAAUAUGCACCAUAUUUUUAUAUGUUAUCUUUACAUAGGUUGUUUUUUUAUAAUUGGAUAUUGUUUUAUUGAUUUAAUAAAUAAUGUUAUUAAAAUUGUUAAUUUCAUGCUGAAGUACACAUAAAUUUAAUUUGCACCCGACACUAUUACUUCGACAAUUUAAUUAGGAAUAUGUAUUUUGAGUUGAAAAUAUUCAAAUGACAUAAAAUUGUUUUUUUUGAUUAUUCGUAAAUUCUUGCAUUAUUCCACCCACAAUCCGUGCUACGUCAAUAUAUAAAUCGAAUGCUCUAGGUCGUAUAUAAAAUAUAAAAAAAUUACAAUACAACUGGCGCGCUCUUUUUUCGUAUAGCGGAUUUGCUAGCGCGGAAACGUCUCCGACUUAUUUUAGCAAUUGUUUUUUUUAUUGAGUCAUUAUUCUUGUCUCUUGGAUAUGAAUCAUUCGGUCGGUUUGGUCACACUGCCUUAUAAGGCAGUGAUGGUUAUAAUAGUAAAUAAUUAUUGCAAAAAAGAUGAUUACACCUUGAGAACGAUUUGUGAGAACACUUAUUUUAAAUUAUCAUUGUUUUUAUGAGUGUUAUUUAAAGAAAUAAGUAGGGAUAAUUAUGUGGUUAAAGAUUUUAAUGCUUCUAUGAGAGUGAUGCCUAAUAUUGUUAAGAUUUAAAAUAUUUAAAUGAAUUAGGUAGAAAAUAUUAACGUAUUAAGAUUUACUUCUGAACUUUAUAUUGGUGAUAAUUCCUGUCUAUUUUAAGAAUAUCGAUAGUUCAUAAGUUUCUCCAAAUAUGAAUUGAUCUAUUAAAAUUAAAUUAAGUAUUUACAGAGAUAAAGCAUUUCAAUCAUGGGUUUCGUUUCUAGUUCAAAUUUCAAUCAAUUUUAUCUCCAGUUGUUUAAGUCAAUGGGCGAUCUGAAAAAUGGGGGAGGCCCAAGUUCAGCAGUGGACAUCUUGCGGCUGAUGAUGAUGAUGUUUAAGUCGACGAAUUAUAAAUAAUCCAUGUAUCGGCCCUAAAUAUUCUGUAAAAUAUUGUUAUUGAAUAUCUUGAGUAUUGUAGCUCCAUGCAAGUUUGAUGUUACACUUGCAUGUAAGUUCAAUAUUACCAAACAUGCAGCUUAUAUUUAGAAAAUCAGAUGUUAAAUACCUAUUUGUAAUUUCAUAUCCAAUACUCGGAGAUAGUUGGGAUCUUCUAAAUAUGUAAUAAACUCUCCUAUUUUUAAAAUACUAUUGAACUUUGUUUUUAUUGUAACACUUGGGUUUUAUAUUUAUCAAAUAUUGCCCGCAUACCAAAUUUUUGGUUCGUGUAUUCUGCCGUGCUAAGCUCGAAAGCAGUAUCUCAAAAAAAUAUCAAAAUCUUGAUUAUUGUGUCGUCAGAUAGCUUAAAGAAAUACCCAUCCAAUGAACUUACCCAAAUAAACAUAUCUUGUUGACAAUUUGUCAAAAAAUCCUUAAAGAGUUCGUCUAUCUCAGUUUUACAUACAAAACUAUAUUUACAAAACUUCGAUUAUCUCAAAAUAAGGUUUCCCUGACAUACCGCUUUUGCGUUUAGCGCGGCAAUAUUGUUCUGCAAUGAAUUCGACGAGUCCUAUGUUUACUAGUUCAAGUUCAAAAACAUAACUGUUUUUGAACCUCAGUAUUUCAAAAAAAUCUGUUAAACUAUGAGAAAUUUAAGUUUAGAAUGUUUAAAUCGCCUCCUCAUCCUGUAAAGUUAUUUUUGCACUUGUAUUAUUAUACGUAAGACCUGUCGAAAUAUCACUAAUCUUUAUUAAGAGUUGAAAAUUUACGAUUUCCAUGAAGAUUUCGAUUUGUGAUAGUUAAUAGUGAUAGCAAUGCGGUUGCCAUGUUUUAAUAAAUGUUUUAUUCA